CUUCACACAGCUUCAGGAACAAUGGAAGUCUGUGACCGCAGGCUCUGAAGCCCAUCAGAUGCUGCUUCAUCGAAUCCUAGCAGAUUAUCAGCAGAUACAACAGGGUAGCCCCAGCUACUUUGAAUUGAAGAACAGGUGCCUGUACCUCCACAACAAGCUGUCACAUAUUCAGAGCCUCAUAUCUGAAUUUGACAAGCAUUAAGUGGAGUCCUGGCACCAGGCAACUGCUUCAGCCAGAAAUAUCUAUGAACCCUGGAUUUUUUAUCACAACUAGAAGAUUAGGUUUUUAGGAUUAUUUACAUUAGUAUUGAACAGUAGGUUAUGUUAGCAUUGAGCAAUAGAUGACUUUCUAAAAAUGUAGAAUUAGUUCAAAGAAGUUGAGUAAGUUAAUGGAUUUCAAAGAUGAUCUUAUUGAACUUUAAGAAUAAAGAAAUUUCCCUUGUGACAACUCCUUCUCUCAUUGUUGCUUGUAUCAUAUUGGAGUGGCUUUUUU